rnacentral:rRNA from 1 species
UACGGGGGGGGCAAGCGUUAUUCGGAAUUAUUGGGCGUAAAGGGCGCGUAGGCGGCCUGACAAGUGGAAGGUGAAAUCCCUCGGCUUAACCGAGGAACUGCCUUCCAAACUGUUUGGCUUGAGUCCGGGAGAGGCGAGUGGAAUUCCCAGUGUAGCGGUGAAAUGCGUAGAUAUUGGGAGGAACACCAGUGGCGAAGGCGGCAUCCUGGACCAAUAUUGACGCUGAGGAGCGAAAGCCAGGGGAGCAAAGCGGG